rnacentral:rRNA from 1 species
GAACGCGAAGAACCUUACCAAGUCUUGACAUACUGUGAGGACACAAGAGAUUGUGUUGUUCUGACCUAUGGUUAGACACAGAUACAGGUGGUGCAUGGUUGUCGUCAGCUCGUGUCGUGAGAUGUUGGGUUAAGUCCCGCAACGAGCGCAACCCCUAUGUCUAGUUGCCAGCAGUAAGAUGGGGACUCUAGACAGACUGCCAGUGAUAAACUGGAGGAAGGCGGGGAUGACGUCAAAUCAUCAUGCCCCUUAUGACUUGGGCUACACACGUGCUACAAUGGAUAGGAACAAAGAGAAGCUAACUCGCGAGAGCAAGCAAACCUCAUAAAACUAUUCUCAGUUCGGAUUGUAGUCUGCAACUCGACUACAUGAAGCUGGAAUCGCUAGUAAUCGCGAAUCAGAAUGUCGCGGUGAAUACGUUCCCGGGUCUUGUACACACC